rnacentral:rRNA from 3 species
UGGGGAAUAUUGCACAAUGGGCGCAAGCCUGAUGCAGCGACGCCGCGUGAGGGAUGGAGGCCUUCGGGUUGUAAACCUCUUUUAUCGGGGAGCAAGCGAGAGUGAGUUUACCCGUUGAAUAAGCACCGGCUAACUACGUGCCAGCAGCCGCGGUAAUACGUAGGGUGCAAGCGUUAUCCGGAAUUAUUGGGCGUAAAGGGCUCGUAGGCGGUUCGUCGCGUCCGGUGUGAAAGUCCAUCGCUUAACGGUGGAUCCGCGCCGGGUACGGGCGGGCUUGAGUGCGGUAGGGGAGACUGGAAUUCCCGGUGUAACGGUGGAAUGUGUAGAUAUCGGGAAGAACACCAAUGGCGAAGGCAGGUCUCUGGGCCGUUACUGACGCUGAGGAGCGAAAGCGUGGGGAGCGAACA